UGCUUAACACAUGCAACUCGAACGGUAGGUAUUUUGGUACUGAGAGUGGCGGACGGGUGAGUAACGUGUAGGAAUCUGCCUGUUAGUGGGGGACAACGUGGGGAAACUCACGCUAAUACCGCAUACGCCCUACGGGGGAAAGGAGGGGAUCUUCGGACCUUUCGCUAACAGAUGAGCCUGCGUUGGAUUAGCUAGUUGGUAGGGUAAAGGCCUACCAAGGCGACGAUCCAUAGCUGGUCUGAGAGGAUGACCAGCCACACUGGGACUGAGACACGGUCCAGACUCCUACGGGAGGCAGCAGUGGGGAAUUUUGGACAAUGGGGGCAACCCUGAUCCAGCAACGCCGCGUGAAUGAAGAAGGCCUUAGGGUUGUAAAGAUC
rnacentral:rRNA from 1 species